UACGGAGGGUGCAAGCGUUAAUCGGAAUUACUGGGCGUAAAGGGCUCGUAGGCGGCCAACUAAGUCGGAUGUGAAAUCCCCAGGCUUAACCUGGGAACUGCAUCCGAUACUGGAUGGCUUGAAUUCGGGAGAGGGAUGCAGAAUUCCAGGUGUAGCGGUGAAAUGCGUAGAUAUCUGGAGGAAUACCGGUGGCGAAGGCGGCAUCCUGGACCGACAUUGACGCUGAGUGAGCGAAAGCUAGGGGAGCAAACGGG
rnacentral:rRNA from 1 species